CCGAGAGUUGUAGGCUUCUGUCUACCAUCUCUUACCCAUGUCUUUUGCGUACUAUACGUUUCCUCGGCAGGUCCGCCUGCCGCUAGGACAAACAUAAACCAUUUGCAGUUGCAGUCAGCGUCUGAAAAAUUUAAUAAUUA
rnacentral:misc_RNA from 1 species